ensembl:lncRNA UBR5-DT UBR5 divergent transcript
CCCGCCUUACUCUGUUGCACCGCCCAGUCGCCCGGCUUUCCACUGAGGGACGCCCCCUGCUCUGGACUGCUUAGCCUACUCCAGCUGGCCCCACCUCACCUCAUCGGCCCCGCCUCCUCCGCUCGCCCACUCCGGGCGCCCACUCCUGAGGAGCUAUCCCAGAGUCCGCGCGGCCUCGCCUUCCCGGCCCGCUCACCACCCCGCCUCGUCCCACCUCGCCUCGCCCUCCCCGGGCUCUAGCCACUUGGUGCGGCAGGUGUCCUGCAGGCCGGCUCGAGAUUCCCGAGCUCGCCCUCGUGGUGUUCCAGGAACACGAGUCUCGCUCGGGCACCAGGCUGGAGUGCAGUGGCACGGUCUCGGCUUACUACAACCUCCGCCUUCCGGAUUCAAGUGAUUCUGCUGCCUCAGCCUCCCGAAUAGCUGGGAUUACAGUGUUUCAGAAUCACCUGGGAUGAUCUGCAUGAAGAUUCCUGGCCUCCACCAAAGACUUACUGAAUCAGAAAGGAGGCAAGAGGAUGAGGAAUGCUUAAGAAUCUGCAUUAACAAACUUUACAAAUGAAUCUUACAACAUACAGAAGCAUGGAAACUACUGCCUCAAGGGAUUAUCUCAACUUGAGUUUAAACAUAGGAAUUGCUGACUACCUUUAAAAUGUAAAAAUAGUAUCUUUAUGGGAGGGAUGUUGUUUGGGGGCAGCUACUAAAUAGUGAAAUCAUUCCUUUAAAAUACCCUCUCAAGUCUGCCCCAGUUAUCCAUUUUACUGGAUAGUCUUGGUAUCCAGAUGAUUUAGGGAAAAAAAUAGUAGUAGCAAACUCUGAAAACACUCAGUAAAGUUCAUUCUUGGUCUUCUCUUCCUAAAUUUGUUUUCAAUUGUUAGAUUUAAACACUAAACAAGACCAAAAGAGAACUUUAUUUUACAUGUCUUUAUUUUACAUUUAGAACCGUUUUAUGAUUUACUUAAAAAAAAAAUCUUUUACUAUUAUUAGAAGUAUUUUUUAACCAAAAUCUUGAUUUAGGAAGACUUAAGACAUUGUGCAUUAUUUUAAAUAUUUUCAUUUCAGUAACUAUUAAAAAUAAAUUCACAAUUAGGGUUUCAAAUGUCCUAAUCAUAUCUAGUUUGUUCUCAUUUAAUAUUUUAUCAAUCCCAUCAUGUGCAUACAGAGGUUAAGGUGAUGUAUAAAUUUUAUAUCUUUCAAACACAUUGAUGCUAAUCAGCUCUUGAUCUAAUUACUAUUUCAUUUAUUCAGAAAUAGCAUUUAGACAUAAAAACCAAUGUCUCACUUUGUAAAAUAACCUUUGGCUAAUUUACACACAUCUAAUACAGCGUGUUAUAUAAGUUUUAAGUAAUACAAUGAGUCACUACUAUCAUUCAGUUUUAAAUAUUUUUAGUGUUAACAGGGCUGAGAAUAUCAUGUGGUUCAGUCUUCUGAAGGAAGUUAUAUAAUAAAAGCAUAGUGCCUUUGAACAUGAAGACUAUCCUCAAGGCCAGAAAUCCUACAAAGGAACUGAAAGGAGAGAUUCCAGAGAAUUGCUCUCCUCAUUUUUAAUAUGUAAAGUGACUGUUUUAAGUCACUUCAUUGAAGACUUAAGGAAGAAAACAGUGUUAUUAUGCCACUGAAUAAAGCUACUUAAACCAGAGUAAUUUUGGGAUAUUAAUCCUAGGCUACAUAAUUAAUAGGUCAUCAAAACAAAAACCUGUCAGUUAUUAGGUGUAAGUUAACUUCCUAUGCCAAGUAAGGGGUCACACUUCACUUCCCCCAUUUGUAAAAUGAAAAGGUGGCCAGGCCAGUGCCAUUUAGGAUUCUCUGCUAACUGUAAAAUGUGGACUGAUUUUCUUCUGUUUCUUAUAGUCCAGGUGUAUAUAAACUUCCAGUUCUUUAAGUCAAAAUUUUUAUGCACAUAACCAUGUCAGUGUAUUGCCCUUAGUUUAAAAAUGUACAACUACAUAAAUAAAAACUAUUGUUUCUUCAAUAUUACUUGACAUUUCUUCUGUAAUUUCUUUAUUUAAAAAAGUAAAUGUAACAAGAUACUUAAAAAAGGCUAGAUACAAAAGUAGUUAAGCUGCUCACGAACAUUUAAAAUUUUCCAAAAUGUAUCUUCAAUAAUCAUGAUCUUAUAAAACAUUUUACAGUUAUCAGAAAGUGCCCAGGCUGAGUUUACAUAACUGAAAUACCUUAGUACAAAUGUCUAGUUAGAACUGAAGUGCAGUAACCUCUUGAGACUGACUGCUCAUUGAAAUAGGGAUACAAAGAAAAAGUUGAUUGUGAUAAAAGUAUUGUGCAUUGGCCCCAUCAUAUGUACAAAAAAAGUGCCCUCACUCAAAUGAGCAAAUUACAUGCAAAAUAUUAGUGAUAUCAUUUAAUAUCCUAGAGCUCAAUGCAGUCAA